UACGAAGGGGGCUAGCGUUGCUCGGAAUCACUGGGCGUAAAGGGUGCGUAGGCGGGUCUUUAAGUCAGGGGUGAAAUCCUGGAGCUCAACUCCAGAACUGCCUUUGAUACUGAAGAUCUUGAGUUCGGGAGAGGUGAGUGGAACUGCGAGUGUAGAGGUGAAAUUCGUAGAUAUUCGCAAGAACACCAGUGGCGAAGGCGGCUCACUGGCCCGAUACUGACGCUGAGGCACGAAGGCGUGGGGAGCAACAGGG
rnacentral:rRNA from 1 species